rnacentral:rRNA from 1 species
UGGGGAAUUUUGGACAAUGGGGGAAACCCUGAUGCAGCCAUCCCGCGUGUGCGAUGAAGGCCUUCGGGUUGUAAAGCACUUUUGGCAGGAAAGAAACGUCAUGGGUUAAUACCCCGUGAAACUGACGGUACCUGCAGAAUAAGCACCGGCUAACUACGUGCCAGCAGCCGCGGUAAUACGUAGGGUGCAAGCGUUAAUCGGAAUUACUGGGCGUAAAGCGUGCGCAGGCGGUUCGGAAAGAAAGAUGUGAAAUCCCAGAGCUCAACUUUGGAACUGCAUUUUUAACUACCGGGCUAGAGUGUGUCAGAGGGAGGUGGAAUUCCGCGUGUAGCAGUGAAAUGCGUAGAUAUGCGGAGGAACACCGAUGGCGAAGGCAGCCUCCUGGGAUAACACUGACGCUCAUGCACGAAAGCGUGGGGAGCAAACAGG